UCUGCCAUCCGUGUGCGCCCCACGCUCGUGCCCUUCGCCCACCCAUAACCCCCAUACAUCACGCUCGAUCGGGUGAAAUCCCGCCUCCUGUUCCUCUCUCCCAUGGAGCGCUGCCGCCGCCCACCGCGUCCCCAAUCUUACCUGCCACUCACACCUCACCUCGGUCGCCAGCGGCCUCCCCCUCCACUACAUCGCCUCGGCGCCCACCGCCCGACACCAGACGCGCGAAGAGUAGCCACACACAAGCCAUGGCUGGGACGCGCGAGGCUCCCACCGCUGCCAUCCAGGUGAGCCGCCGUCGCGGAUGCAUGAGGAGUAGUUGCCCCUUCAUGCGGACUCCCACGCGGUGUCGCCCACUUCGGCCCUGAUUCGCCGCAGCCUUGCCGACCGGGUGCUCGCCCUACUGGGCCUGGAUCCGGGCGACGGCAAAGGCGGCGCCGGCCCCCGUGCCUCCACACGAGGAGGAAGAAGGCCUGGCGCGCUACAUCCCCAUCAAGGCCCUACUUCCUCUCCACCAGUUGAGUAUGCACGGCUGGUUGUACGCUAGGUAUUUGAUGACACUUCUGCAAGGAAGACAAUGCGUGUUACUGUGCUUUUUCAAUCUCUCUUCUAGCAUUGUCGUUGGAGACCACGGUGAUUUGGUGACAAGAUCCAAUCUUUUACAACAUUGAUUUGACGAGCCUUCAGGCAUAGCAUGGGAGCGACGUGGCACAUCCAGUCCAGAGAUCAUGGUUCAGAACCACUGGGUAUUGCUCAAACUUUUCUGGUCUCUCAGUCGCUGCUCCAGAAAACUUGCAUUCAGUACAACUGGACUCUGCAAGCACUGAUAUACAGCUCCAUGGUGUUAUUUGGGAACUGGUCAGACUGUUGAGAAACCCAUGGUUGGGUGUUUCGUAUCAUGGGAAGCUUCAUACAAGCUACACUGGGCCUGAUGGGAUAAAGGGAUGUUCAGUUGAUGUUUUCAAAUCUGCAAUAAGCUUGUUGCCUUACCCUGUGGGAUGCAUUUUUUUUAUUUCGAGAUGGAUUGGAAAAUCCGAGAUACAGUGACCUUGUACAAAAGGUGUCCAAAAAUGUGAGUAACAUGUCCAUAUCAUCGAGUCUGAAAAACUACUGCACCAUCUUUAUUUUGAUUUUAUUUAUCAGUGAUAUAGGUAUAUAUAGAUGCUUUGUUCUACCCUCAACUUCAGCUUCUCUUUGCUUUUUAGUUGGUUAUAUCAUCUAGCAACGUGUGCUUAGUUGUUUGGUUUGCAACGUGUGCUUAGUUGUUUGGUUGCAAUCUUUUAUCCGCUUCUCUGAAUUGAUAAUGACAAGUUAUGUUCACCGCACCUCUGCCGCCACCGUCGAUGCCGCUUCCAUGAUGGUCGGGAAGGCGCUGGGGUGUGGGAGCUACUUUCUCAGCCUUGCUGGGUCGACAGCGACAGAGUUAAUUUAGAGCACUAUGUGUAUUUCUUAUUAUCUUAUGAAACUUCUGACCAACAUGGUAUCUGACACCGAGUGUUUCACAUUAUUCACAAUCUUCAAAUGUUGUGAUGUGGUCUUUGCAGAUCAUUAACUUUUGGUGUGUUCAUUUGUAUCAAGUGUUCUGGAGCUCAUACAAGCCUGGGGUGCACAUUUCCAAGGUUGACGCGAUCAAGUUUAUUUGUAAUAAGCAAAGAUAAUCAGAAGGAUACGGAUUCGAGAGUUCUACAGUCAUGCUGCAACUGAAAAAGUAGUUGAUGUUUUUGCUGGGCAUAUAAUGCCAAGUACUGAUCAACUUUUUAGGAUAAGCUGGGCAUCAUUUAGCAUGGGCGAUAUGAGUUCGGAGUCAGACAUUGCUUCAGAUAAUUCCAUAUUUGUAGGCGAUCUUGCCUCUGAUGUCAAUGAUGCUGCAUUGCUGGAGACUUUCUCCAGCAGGUACUCCUCUGUCAAAGAUACAAAAGUUGUUAUUGAUGCUAACACUGGUAGAUCAAAGGGCUAUGGAUUUGUGCUUUAUCACGCAUCUGGACUUGUUUCCCUUCUUAAUUUGUUUGGGAGGGAGAUUCAUUCAGAAGUUCACACUUUGCAGUAUUUAUGUCCAAAACUGUUUUUGCUCUGCAUUCAUUCCUUGCUGCUUUUAUGCACUACCUUUUUGGAAAAUGGGUUUGUAUGGGUGACAAGUGAGGUAGCUUCAUAUUUUUGAGAGUAUUAAUGAUUGGUCAAAAAAUUUGAGAACAUGUGAAUUGCUAUUAUCAAUGUUCUUUUGGCUAAAAAAUUCUACAGGAAUCAUUUAAUGUUGUUUGCAUAGAUGUGACUAUUUAUUUCUGUUUACUGGAAAAUUGUUGGCUUACAUACUUUUGGGUCUACUGGUUCAUCCUCUCGAUCAGAUGGAGAUUUGAACAAACACAACUGUGAGUACAGAUGCAUUGACUGUAACUUAUGCAAUGUACAUUGUUACAACUUUUCUUUUAUUAUUGUUGUUUAAUUGUCAUUAGGUAUUUAUCGGUUGGCUUGACCCAAAUGUUAGUGAAAAUAAUCUUAAGCAAACCUUCUCCCAGUUGUGAAGAUUGUAGUUGGGAAACAGUGCGGGUUCGUGCAGUUUGAUCAGAAGUAUGGAUUAUUAGCCAUGCACUUUUAUACUUUCCAGUUCCUCCCCACGUAAUUUUUUUUGUUUGGUUAAAUUGCCUCUGUCACCAUGAUGGAAUCCGAUCCAUUAUAGCCUUGUGUUGGUAGUUGCAGUUACACAAUGAUGGAUUGUGUUUACAUUUUUUUUU